GCUGAGGAGAGACUGGGGUAGGCUGAGGAGAGGCUGAGGAGACAUUGGGGUAGGCUGAGGAGAGACUGGGGUAGGCUGAGGAGAGGCUGAGGAGAGACUGGGGUAGACUGAGGAGAGACUGGGGUAGGCUGAGGAGAGGCUGAGGAGACAUUGGGGUAGGCUGAGGAGAGACUGGGGUAGGCUGAGGAGAGGCUGAGGAGAGACUGGGGUAGACUGAGGAGAGGCUGGGGUAGCCUGAGGAGAGGCUGGGGUAGGCUGGGGUAGGUUGAGGAGAGGCUGAGGUAGGCUGAGGAGAGACUGGGGUAGGCUGAGGAGAGGCUGGGGUAGGCUGAGGAGAGACUGGGGUAGGUUGAGGAGAGACUGGGGUAGGCUGAGGAGAGACUGGGGUAGGCUGAGGAGAGGCUGAGGAGACAUUGGGGUAGGCUGAGGAGAGACUGGGGUAGGCUGAGGAGAGGCUGAGGAGAGACUGGGGUAGACUGAGGAGAGGCUGGGGUAGGCUGAGGAGAGGCUGAGGAGAGGCUGGGGCCUGAAACAUUUCUGGGUGGGGUGGAUGAGGUUUGGACUGAGCAGACUGAACAGUUUUGUGAGAGGUGUAUCAGGUCGCUACACUUUAGGAAAUCCAUGGGUCCAUUUGGAGUAGAUUACAUUGAUACUGCAGAUGCACAGGGUAUUUUGUGACUGUGGUAUUUAAGGAAAUAGGAUACUUCAAGUUAAGGCCAUAGCACUAGCAGCAGCUGCACCUACUCCUCACAAUGCUUGCCUUCACUCACUGUAUAAUAGUUGACAGACUUGUUGGCCACUACUGUCAGAUUAGGGAGAGAGAGCAAUGAGGACAUAACAAAAAUCAUGAUUGAUAGAAAUUAUUCUGGAACACAUUUUAAGUCUGAUGUUUUGAUAUGCCUGAUUUAAUCCAAGACAUUCAUCUAUCUUAGUUCGUCUAAGUGCCAAAGCUCAUCUGAAAGAAAAAGUUAUUUAACCUCUACGGGGGCGGUGACCCCGCCCCGCCCCGCGGGACUGUUGAGCUAACGUGCGCUAAUAUGAUUAGCAUGAGGUUGUAAGUAACAAGAAUAUUUCCCAGGACG
rnacentral:lncRNA from 1 species